UACGUAGGAGACGAGCGUUGUCCGGAGUUACUGGGCGUAAAGGAUGCGCAGGUGGCGGCGCGCGUGGGGGGUGAAAUCGCCCGGCUUAACUGGGCGGGGGCCUUCCAGACGGCGUGGCUUGAGCAGCGGAGGGGGACGUGGAAUUCCGGGUGGAGCGGUGAAAUGCGUAGAGAUCCGGAGGAACACCAAAGGCGAAGGCAGUGUCCUGGGGAGUACCUGACGCUCAGGUGCGAAAGCCAGGGGAGCGAACGGG
rnacentral:rRNA from 1 species